rnacentral:snRNA from 1 species
UAUCAGCUUAAUAUCUGAUACGGGUCCUAUUUGGACCCAAGAUAUUAAUCUUAUUUUUGGAAUGCGGCGUAGUGCUUGAGGUUUACCUCACCUAUGCCACGGGUUGGCCCGGUAUUGCACUGCCUCCGGGAUCGGCCCACCCCCC